rnacentral:sRNA from 1 species
AUAUAUUUUUUUUCCUACGCUGCCGCCAAUUAAUGCCAUCGGCGGCAGCGACGCCAAGCAGUGUCACAAAAACAACACCAACACAAAUCAAAAAAGCAAAAAAUUAAGAGUAAAAAGAGCGGCGGCUGCAAAAACAAUUAUAUUUUUGCAAUGUGAGCAUUAAAGAAAAUAAAACUGCUCUUUAAACAAAUAUGCGAACGGCAAACAACAGAAAAAACAUAACAACACGAUGAAGUAGAAGAAGGAAUGAAGGAAAUAAGAGAAGCGGCAGAGAGUCGGAGUCAGUCAAACGAAGAGUAAAAAGACAACAACAAAAAAUUAGAGUAAAAGCAACGGUAUAACAAAACAAGGAUCGGAGCAGCAGCGGCAGUGAAAAAAAAGAGAAGCAAAGCAGCAGGCAGUCGCACGACGCAGACGACGAUCAGCAGAGAGGAGCGGCAGCGCAACAGGAACCACCUCUCUCUCUCUCUCUCUCACACUCUUGUGCGCUCUUUCUCCCGCUCCCCAGAUACGGAUACAGAUGCCCGAAGUUUGCUUCACAGACAGUGCUUUCCACCAAAGAUCGUACUACUCCAUUGGGGAUCCAUGGGAUAAGCAGUGCAAAAACAUAUUCUAGGGAAAGUAAAUAUGAUAAUAUCCAGCGCUACGAUGGGCCUCGUGGCGCCAAAGCGCCGUUUAUUUGCAACGCAUCUCAGACGCUAAAAGCCAAAGAGAUAGAAUAAUAAUAGUAGGAGCCGCAGUCGCAGCGGUGGGCCAGUGCCAGGGCCAGCACCAGCACCAGCACUCCCCCCCUUCCGAACGCCACCCGCCCCCACCCACAAAUGAGGAGGGGUGGGCAACGACGGGCCAACAACAGGUUGAGGAGCACAUACAUAGGCAAAAGCCCACAACAAAAUCAAAAGCAAAUGCCAGAGCAAAGGCAAAGGCAAAAGCAAAAGCAACAAAAACACGACAAAUAGAAAGAAGCAGACAAAAUAAAACAGAGAAAACCACCAAAACCGCAAAAACAACAAGCAGAGAAGCCACCGAAAGAGAGCGGCAGACCAACCGACCGACCGACCGACCGACCGACCGACAGGACCGACCGGGCAGCCGUGAGAGUAAAAGAGGGAGAGAGUAAUCCAAUCAAAAACCAAACACAAACGCAGCAGAGCAGCAGCAGCCGAGCGGCAGCGAC